AGCCACUUCCCAACGUUCUGCACAGUUACAAUCUGACACAUGCUGUAGAAGAUUGCUCUAUCUCCAGUAGUCUCACAGACUGGUCUGCCUUCUGUGUACAGGUCAAUAUACAUAUAAAGGUUCUUCAGAGGUUUAUUGCCACUUACCCUAUGUAUGGAGAUAAAGUAUUAUUAAAAAUAUUCUACAGGAAUCAUUAUAUUCAAUCAAAGGCUUUUGAACAGUUCCUAUUCUUUUUAAUUAAAGCAGUAUACAUCAUAGUAAUAAAAAGACAAUCUAACUGCAUAUUUAAUUUGUUUCAGUGCAAAAAGAAGAGAAAAAAAAAAAAAAGAGCAUUUAAUCUCCCAAGGGGUUUGAGUUAAAUGAAUACAAAGGGCUGAUAUCUUGUUUGGUUUGCCAAGCAUUUUGAAAACAUGUGGAGUUCCCUGUCACCACGAGAAGCGAGCAGAAGUCAGCAGGCUUAACUAGACUUCAUAUAGGACCUCAGGUGAAGAUGAAAAUUAUAUCUUCAUGUAUAGGAGGAAAAGAUAAAUUAUCCUCUUAGAUCAGCUGAAAAGUAGUUCAGCAAGAAAACCCUGUUGUGUAACUGUUGUGUCUGUACCUAGCUGCAACCACUGGGUUUCAGGUGACUGCUGUGGCCAGCAGCAGCUUCUCUGCUGUCCUCAGAGGCCACAGGAACAGGCGUUGCCUAAAACUGGAAACGUUUCUUAACUGCGGUCAGGAGGUUUUCAAUACUAGAGGCAUUUGAAGUCAGAAUUGAAGAUUUUCUGUUGCUGCCAAUACAAAAAGCUGAAGCUGAGGGUGGAUGGAGGACUGAAACCCACUUGUUUUGACUAAUGCCUGUCAGCUAGUCUCCGCAGCAACUGGCAGGUUUAGCGGAAUUAGCAAACCUGCUGAAGUUAAAGAAGAAAAGCGCAUCAUCUGCUUAUAUCUUUGCUAGUUAAAGUGUUUGUUUUAACCAAAUACAAUGGCAGACUUUUCUAAAUGACAGGUCUUGUACUGAUCGUUCUAUGAGAACUGCAUUAAACAGUAAUGCUCAUCUGCCUACAUUUCAUCACAGUAAGAAAAAAUCUUAAACCAGAAACGAAACAAGCAUAUCAGCGUAAAAAAACUGUAAUACAGUUAAGUACGUCUGAGGAAUUAUCAAUACUGUAGCAGUGUUAAUCAAUUCUAAAUUGGGCCGCUGGAAACCAAAAGAUUAAGACAGAAAUGUACGAAGAGUAUUUUUCAUAUCUUUUAUAGGACAGAAACCUUUGUUCAUGUCUUCUGGUAGUCAUCAUCUUCAUUUGAGCUGCACCUACAACACAAAGAACAAGUGAACGAGCAACUUUACGCUUCUCCAGAACAGCUUAAAACAGUUCUAUAUAAGUUCUUUCAAAUGAGAUCCCAACGGAUGUAAUUACUAAAUGAAAACUCUUCCGUAAGUAUUGGCUCUAUGUCAUAGUGAACUGUAUUUAACAAAAUGUAUACAAAGUCUAUAGCAAGUUGAUUAAAAAAAUUAAAGUAAUAAGAAACAGUACACUGAAGGCGCUCUAUCCAUCAAGUGCGCGCUCUGGAAGUUGUAAAUGUGAUGAACAGAACGGAAGUUGUAACUAUGCCACAGUUGCAAUGCCAGAAAAUAAAAACAAGAUCAUUUAUCAAACAUGCAGGGAAUUCUGCCACAAUGCUACUGUCUCUCAUUUGUCAGUUGUUCCAGUAAAAUAACAGCUUAAACACCGGUGAUGUUGAUGGGUUAGCUUACCUUCAGUGUACUGAAAGUUGUACACAACCUGCUUUAAAAGAGGAGACCAUCCCUGCGGGCAGGCUCAAGAAGGAACAGACCCCCUUCGGCACUGACUACACCAAGGGCAUGCUGCUGUGGCCUGCACACACACACCUAGGAAAAUGUGAAUAUAAACAGCAUUUAUGCUGGCCAUUUUUUAAAGACAAAAAUGAAGCCAAGUCUGCUAAAAACAAAUCAACCACCCAGUAUUACUGCUCUUUUUUUUUUUUUCUUUUUUUAAACAGAUGCUUUUUUCUUUUUUAUAAUAUAUACGAACUGCAACCAUAUACAUUAGCAUUGUACUUCUGUGCAGUCUUGGCAAUUAAAACAGUUCUACAGUGAAAAUUUUCACAUAAGACACAAAACAGAAUUACUCUAACAUUUCUAAAAGAAAUAUCAGCCUUGAUGUUAAUUCAAAUGUAUCUUUUCUUCCUCAACUUUGCAGGGCAAAUAUUUAUGUUUAUAUACAUUAAUAACUGCUGUGAAAUUUCUUCAGUCUUUGUAUCUUAAUUACUCAAACCCUUUGAACUUCUUCAUCUGGUUUAAAUUUUUUCCUGGAUGAAGGCGUGCUGCAGAGCCUGGUUGAUGCUAAUCCGUUUAGCUGGAUCUAACAUUAGAAUCUGGUCCAACAAGUCCUUCAGCUGGUGUACUUUUUUACGCUGGUCUUCAGGGAGUCGCUGGCACCCAAUCAAGUCUGCUAACAGGUCCUUAGUUGGAUUAAUGGUGCUCAUUACAGUAACUUUCUCC
rnacentral:lncRNA from 1 species